GUCCAUUUGGUGGAAACAUACUGUACCACUGGUGCGCACAAUUAAUGUUCCAGCAGGGGGAUAGCUGGAUCAAGCAAACUUCUAUAGUCUGAGGGUGGAAAUAACCAUGAUCAGAGCUGCCAACUCUCACGCUUUCGCCGUGUGACACACGUUUUUGCCUGUUUUCACACGCACUCACGCCACACAUCCAAUUUCUCACGCAAAAAAAAUCGGCCGAGACGUGUUCGUUCCUUUUUUCAAACUCCCCGACGGUAGAUGGCGCUGAUGAGCGCCACUGAACCAUAUGCGCUGCACCCCGAAGUUAGCGACAGAAGAAGAGAUACUAUUGCUGCGAAAGACAACAGGAGAAGAAACGGUCACUACCUCAAGAAGUCUGAUAAGAAGCUGAGCUGAGACUAGAUGGUGAAAUUCGAACGCAAUCUAUGUUCCAAGUUUAUGGUUCCAGCAGCUCUGCAGUGCCAUGAGGAGCCUUGUGAAAUUGCCUUUAAAGAAAAGGCAAACCAUUUACCAGGCUAAAUUUAACAGAUUACUCGACGAGGGUGACAUCACAC